UCUCCUGGAAGGGAGCGUCAUAGAGGGUGAGAAUCCCGUCUUUGACACGGACGCCCAGUGCUAUGUGAUGCGCUCUCGACGAGUCGAGUUGUUUGGGAAUGCAGCUCAAAUAGGGUGGUAAAUUCCAUCUAAAGCUAAAUAUAGGCGAGAGACCGAUAGCGAACAAGUACCGUGAGGGAAAGACGAAAAGAACUUUGGAAAGAGAGUUAAACAGUACGUGAAAUUGCUGAAAGGGAAACGCUUGAUGUCAGUCGCGUCGGCCGGGGAUCAACCUUGCUUCAUCGCUCGGUGCACUUCCUGGUCGAUGGGUCAGCAUCAGUUUCGUGCUCGCCGUACAAGGGCGGAGGGAACGUGGCACUCUUCGGAGUGUGUUAUAGCCCUUCGUCGUAUGCGGCGGUCGGGACUGAGGAACUCGGCACGGGCUUCGGCCUUGUGCUUAGGAUGCUGGCAUAAUGGCCUUAAGCGACCCGUCUUGAAACACGGACCAAGGAGUCUAACUUGCCUGCGAGUGUUUGGGUGAAUAAACUCGGGCGCGUAAUGAAAGUGAAAGUUGGGACCUCUGUCGUGGAGGGCACCGACGCCCGGACCCGAGUCUUUGACAAAGGAUCCGCGGUAGAGCAUGCAUGUUGGGACCCGAAAGAUGGUGAACUAUGCCUGAAUAGGGUGAAGCCAGAGGAAACUCUGGUGGAGGCUCGUAGCGAUUCUGACGUGCAAAUCGAUCGUCGAAUUUGGGUAUAGGGGAG
rnacentral:rRNA from 1 species